rnacentral:rRNA from 1 species
UACGUAGGGUGCGAGCGUUGUCCGGAAUUAUUGGGCGUAAAGAGCUUGUAGGCGGUUUGUCGCGUCUGCUGUGAAAAUCCAGGGCUCAACCCUGGACCUGCAUUCGAUACGGGCAGACUAGAGUUCGGUAGGGGAGACUGGAAUUCCUGGUGUAGCGGUGAAAUGCGCAGAUAUCAGGAGGAACACCGGUGGCGAAGGCGGGUCUCUGGGCCGAAACUGACGCUGAGGAGCGAAAGCGUGGGGAGCAAACAGG